rnacentral:rRNA from 1 species
GACGUAGGGCGCAAGCGUUGUCCGGAAUUAUUGGGCGUAAAGAGCUCGUAGGCGGCUUGUUGCGUCGACUGUGAAAACCCGUGGCUCAACCAUGUGGUCUGCAGUCGAUACGGGCAGGCUAGAAUUCGGUAGGGGAGACUGGAAUUCCUGGUGUAGCGGUGAAAUGCGCAGAUAUCAGGAGGAACACCGAUGGCGAAGGCAGGUCUCUGGGCCACUACUGACGCUGAGAAGCGAAAGCAUGGGGAGCGAACAGG